rnacentral:miRNA from 1 species
CAACAACAUCAAACCACCCGAU